CCCUCUUGCCUAAUACUUCCCAGGGGCAUCUUUGGUUAUUUUUGCUGUAAACCUUUGUAAUCACCAGAAAGUGAAAGGAAAACAACGGGUAUUCUAUUUUACCCUUUAGUUUUAAUGAAGGGUCAAGGGCCAUUUUCAGGUUGCCUGCAGCUUCAAUGGCUUCAGGAGUUUGUGCUGCAAAUGUUAGACUUGUUCUUUAGCAGCUGGAGAUGUAAACAUACAGCAAUUGAGCAUUUAAUUUAGCUUUGUGGGGCUGCAUAACUUUCAGACGCUGAGGCAAAUUGGCUACUAUUAAGGGGAAACACUGAUGUUUAAAUAUACAUUCAUUCCAGCAAAAUGCUGGAGGAACUUUUUAAUAUUUAUGGUGCAAUAAUUGAUCUUUUACCACUGUCAAAAGCUGUUAAAGACUUAUCAGCUUGCUAUUUCAGCACCAUAUGCUCUAUAUAAGUUCCUCACCAUGUGUCUUUCCUACACUUUAGGGGAAGAACAUUUGUUAGAAUAUCAAAACAGAGAAUCACUUCUUCAAAUGAUGGUGCUCAUGUAGAUGAGGGGGACUUUACCAUAACCCCCCAUUUGUAUCCAGACCUCUUGAGUAUGGAGAGGUCUAGGGGAUGUACAGUUGGAUCUUUGUGUAGUGAAGCAUGGUAACAGUAUUUUAUCAGAAAAAUUUAUAUUUGCAUUUGCUUUAAUGUUAGCCGCAAUAACUUAAUGCAGUGCUGUUGUGAAGGUACUGAACUGCAGCCUUGAAAUAAAGCACAUUCUUUUGCACUGGCACAUUCACCUCAUUUAGCUUUUAUUGUCACUGCCUGAGUCCUGAUCUUUCAUGUUGUUCCCACUCUUUCUGGAGUCUUCCUUCCCUCUUGCCCAGGUAUAAAGUGCAGCGUGAUGGUGGGAGGACCCUGGGGACCCACGAGGCAAUUCAAAACAAGAUCUUCAUAGACCACUGAAUACACCUGAACACAUUUUGAGAGAAAGAAGAACAGAAUGAGUUUCUGUAGUUCGUGAAGAUCCUGCUUGAAAGGUCAGCUAUACAGUAGCCAGCGCAGAGAGGAAGCGGCCAAGCCUUUGGAAUAGCAUUUUGCAGUCCAAGGUGGCAAAGUCUGGAGCAGAAGGAAAAGGCAGGCAGCUUCCAGAGCACCCUCAGCUGCUGCCGCCACCAGGAGAGUCCUUGCGGGAUUCAGGCCAAGAUGUAGUUGGCUGGGGCUCUUCAUAGACUAAGACCAAACGAACCUAUUAUGGAUGGCUAAUUGGAUUCCUCCCUCGGGGAAGGCUGGAGGGAGGAAGAAAAGUUCUGAUGGGUGGUAGUGCCUGCCCCAGCAGCUCCAUGAAAUUCAGAGCUCCUCUUUCAGAGAACAGAGACUGAAGACAAAAAGGACUUGGGAAAACAGGGUCAUUGAUAUUUGGAAUUGCUGACUGAAAGUAAUGAUGGCUAAUUCAAGAACACAACACCACAAAGCAGUGCAGAAGCCAUGCACGUGCAGCCCAUGCAUUGCUCAGGACCAAAAAAAGUUCGUGACACUAUCUUAACAACAAACCUACACCUCCUGUGUCAUCAGAAGGAACCCCUGUGGUCUCCUGCCCUCCAGGAGGGAGCUGGCACAGCCCCAAGCUGGGGUGCUGCGCAGAGGAAUUCAAGAGUCACUGGGCCCAAGAAAAAUGAGGUUCUGCUGCUAAAUCCUGAUAACCAGAGCACUCCUAGGACAGGGAUGUGCUGAGUACCUGAAGGAGACCCCAAACCAAGGCACAACACCAAAAUGCUGAGACUUGACCAGAGUCAGUAUGUACCUGUGUCUCCAUGAUAUCCAGCACUCUGGGAAUCUCUUUCUUUCAGCUUAUGAAAGGAGCCCCUGACCAACAAGCACAUCUAAGAGAGCUGACAAAGGCCAGGAGAAACAGAUAUCCAUGGGGAAGAUGAACAAAUGAAGAGUGAUGUUCAUCCAAGAGGAACUUCUAACACUGUCUUGUUAAAAAAGAGCUACGAGACUAGAGGUCUUGAUUCAUACAGUGAGGCUCAUAUGACAAUAAUUAGACAAACAAAUUUAAAGAAAGAUCAUUGUUUGUUUUCAUCUCACCACGGUGGUAGCCUUGCAAUUAUUUGUGAUGUUCUUCCUUUUUCAGACUGAGUAUAUUAAACUGUGUUUUGUAUAUAAUUUGUGGCACCAUGUCAGCUUCUUAAGAUCACUUGAAAGGGAGAUCAAUGGGAAGAAUACCACAGCAGAGCUUGGAAAAUAAUGGUGUAAGUCUCUCUCUCAUUUUUCCUCUCCUCCAGCCUUCACAGACUCCCACAAGGAUCCCGGCUGGCAAAAGAGACACAGCACUGGUAAACUCAAGACAAUACCAGCCAUGUGCUUUGUGAAUAGGUUGCACUUCAUGGUGUGAGGCGCUUGCCUCAGUGCUGAAGCUGCACACAUCCUGGUUUGGGCCAGCUAGGUCCCUAGCA